rnacentral:lncRNA from 1 species
CUUUGAGAAGGAAAAUUUUUCUGCCCGGAGUAAUUUCUCUAUCUCUGUGAACAGAGGACUACAUGAAAAUUGGUGUUACUUGCUGAUCUUGAAGAGUAUUAGCAAAGUAUUUCUGCUGUACUAGGUUAAAGGUAAGUGACAAUGUAUCGGAGAGUUAAAUUGGAAACAGGCGUUUAUGUAGUGUCCAGUGAUGACCACUAAGCUAUCAGUGUUGCUUAUCCUGAGCUUUGAGACCAUAAUCCAAUUUUAAUGUGACUAGCCUCUCUAAGAAACAGCAUCUUAAAGGUAUUGAAAAACCUUGGCUCUGAGUAUGAAAGCUGUAAUUAUGUAGAUGGAUUUUUUUGGAUCAAGAUAAAUGAGAAGGGUCGUUUGGCAUGCUCACCUCUUACUGGGUGUUGGUUCUCCAAAGCAAUGCAUGACUGAGUUACUGUGCAAAGUCAGGGCUGACAUUGUGACACCCUGGGAAUUCUGAGUUAGGCACAACUGAAAAUGUGGUUCGUGUGUCUGAAGCUGUUAGUCUGAAAUACUUCUGUGCAAACUGCCUCCGCUGAUGGGUUUGUUAACAUGUGCAACCGAUGAAGAGUGCAGGAAAUGCACAUUUCUCUGGGAGAACAGAAGAGGUGAUGAAGGGAGAGAGAGAGUAGAAAUCGAACUUGCUUGGGAACACUUGGGGAGGCAAAGCAAAUGGGAGAAGAUGGAUUAGUCAUGAAACUGCUGACUAGAGCCUGCUUGAGUGAAUACUUGUUAUGUUCACAGCAUACAAUAAAAGAGGAAUCCCUGGGAGCUGGGAAGCAGAGAGAAUCUGAAAGCAAAGGAUUGAAAAGUAUUUCAGAUGAAUUCUGUGCAAGUCUUGGACAUCAAGUUGUGAUAUAUUACACCUGUCUUUCUUCAGUUUCAGGGGCCCACAACGGCUAAAAG